UACGACUACAUAUCAGGCAUAUCAAUAAGCGGAGGAAAAGAAACUAACUAGGAUUCCCUUAGUAACGGCGAGUGAAGCGGGAAGAGCUCAAAUUUGAAAUCUUCAAGGUUUUACCUUGACGAAUUGUAGUUUAAAGAAGUGUUUUCUGUUGGAGUUUUGGUAAAAGUUCUUUGGAAUAGGACAUCAUAGAGGGUGAGAAUCCCGUAUUUGACCAGUUAUUUUCCAGCUGUGUGAUACACUUUCAAAGAGUCGGAUUGUUUGGGAAUGCAGUCCAAAAUGGGUGGUAAAUUUCAUCUAAAGCUAAAUAUUGGCGAGGAGACCGAUAGCGAACAAGUACCGUGAGGGAAAGAUGAAAAGAACUUUUGAAAAGAGAGUUAAACAGUACGUGAAAUUGUCAAAAGGGAAGCGUUUGACACCAGUGUUGUUUUUCCGAAAAUCAAUUACGUAUGUUUUAGUUUUUGAGGAGUUAUGACUUCAUCGGCUUGCUCCUUUCUUUAUGAAACUUUCUUAAUGCACUUUUCGGUUAACAAGUCAACAUCAAUUUCUUUUGUUGUAAAAGGGUAUGAGGAAGGUGGCUUUCUUUUCGGAGAAAGUGUUUAUAGCCUUGUGCCUCUGCAAUCGGAGAGAUUGAGGUCUGCAGCGUAGAUCCUUCGGGGUUAGAUACGUUUGUGCUAAGUUAUAGCUUUUCAUAGACAACUUGUUGACUAUGUUUAGUCUUGUAGCUUACUCGCUGACGCUAUUUUACCUACGCUUAGGAUGUUGAAUCUGUGCGAGACUAC
rnacentral:rRNA from 1 species